GCAUAUCAAUAAGCGGAGGAAAAGAAACCAACAGGGAUUGCCUCAGUAACGGCGAGUGAAGCGGCAAAAGCUCAAAUUUGAAAUCUGGCCUCUGGCCCGAGUUGUAAUUUGCAGAGGAUGUUUCUGGCGAGGUGCCUUCCGAGUUCCCUGGAACGGGACGCCAUAGAGGGUGAGAGCCCCGUACGGUUGGUCGCUAAGCCUCUGUGAAACUCCUUCGACGAGUCGAGUAGUUUGGGAAUGCUGCUCUAAAUGGGAGGUGUACGCCUUCUAAAGCUAAAUACAGGCUAGAGACCGAUAGCGCACAAGUAGAGUGAUCGAAAGAUGAAAAGCACUUUGAAAAGAGGGUUAAAAAGUACGUGAAAUUGUUGAAAGGGAAGCGCUCUUGACCAGACUUGGGCCGGUUGAUCAUCCGCCGUUCUCGGCGGUGCACUCUGCCGGCUCAGGCCAGCAUCAGCUCGGUACGGGGGAUAAAGGCUCCGGGAAUGUGGCUCUCUCCGGGGAGUGUUAUAGCCCGCUGCGUAAUACCCUGCACUGGGCUGAGGUUCGCGCAUCUGCAUGGAUGCUGGCGUAAUGGUCAUCAGUGACCCGUCUUGAAACACGGACC
rnacentral:rRNA from 1 species